AAAGCUGAAAAGAACUUAGAGGUGAGAGUUCAACAGGGCGUAAAACCGCAUAGAAGUAAACGGUUGGUGCUGACAUUGUUUCUGCUGGAUUCAGCCGGUCUGAUGGUUGACCCUCUGCAUGCCGAUCGCAAGACGGUGUGUGGAGUGGGAUCGAUCUAGGGCUGGUGCAUUUCCAGUAGAAUGCAUCAUGACCGUUGGCGUUGCUGGCAUAAGGCCGGUUGGUUGCCGUCUGUAGGUUUUCGGACUUGCAGUGCCCCACCUUCCGAACCCUGUCCGAGUUGACGUCAGCGGAUAACUGGACGUGCCCGACAUGUCUCAUCUUGUGCUUUACGUUGGCUGAAUGACCCGUUCGGUCGUGCUUGCACGGCUGAGCAACCCCCAGUCUUCGUAGGGUGCCUGCUUGAGGCGGCACUGAAGGUCUAUGGUGUCCGCGUCAGUCUCCCAACCGACCCGUCUUGAAACACGGACCAAGGAGUCUAACAUGUGCGCAAGUCAUGGGGUUGAAAACCCAAAGGCGUAAUGAAAGUAAAGGCCGCAAGGCUGAGGUGUGAUGGUUGGUUUCUACCGACUCGCAACACCGCCCCAUCGCAUCGGCUUGUCCGGGCGGUGGAGGAAGAGCGUACACGUUGGGACCCGAAAGAUGGUGAACUAUGCCUGAGCAGGAUGAAGCCAGAGGAAACUCUGGUGGAGGUCCGUAGCGGUUCUGACGUGCAAAUCGAUCGUCAGACUUGGGUAUAGGGGCGAAAGACUAAUCGAACCAUCUAGUAGCUGGUUCCUUCCGA
rnacentral:rRNA from 1 species